rnacentral:rRNA from 1 species
GACGUAGGGCGCGAGCGUUGUCCGGAUUUAUUGGGCGUAAAGAGCUCGUAGGCGGCUUGUCGCGUCGACUGUGAAAACUCGGGGCUCAACUCCGAGCUUGCAGUCGAUACGGGCAGGCUAGAGUUCGGUAGGGGAGACUGGAAUUCCUGGUGUAGCGGUGAAAUGCGCAGAUAUCAGGAGGAACACCGAUGGCGAAGGCAGGUCUCUGGGGCCGAUACUGACGUGAGGAGCGAAAGCGUGGGGAGCGAACAGG